CAUCUCUAUGCGGCCUAGCAGGGAAAGAGAAUUCUGACUGUUAGUAAGGAGGCUAGUGGAGAUAAUGUAUUAAACGUACAAUUUUGACUAGGUUCAAUUGUGAAUAAGCAAUAAGUCACAAUUCAGAAGGUUAUGUCCUGAUUUGUGCCUUGACUCCUAUCUGUCCCGAGUCAUGUUUGAGAUUGACUGCUCUGGGGUUCAGGUUCUGGAGCAGAAAGCCUCGUGUCCUCUGAUUGGGGAGGAUGCCAUGCUGAUGAUUAAGGUAAACCCAACCCAGUCUCCUUCCAUACCCUCCAGACAAAUCUGAGCCUUGGCCAGCUGAUGUCCCCAACGCCAUCGCCAUGGCAACUGUAACGAAAUGGAACCACAGAAAACGGUCUGAAUUAACUGAGGUCUUGAAGUUUCGUUUUCCAGGGGAAAGGGACUUUGGCUGCUCCAAAUCUCAAACAUGAGUCAGCGGAUCAGUCAGUGUAGAUCAGAGUGAAGCCUUAUUCCCAGGUUCUACCACAUGGACACUCUUAAACUGUUUGACUUCUAUCAAAGGUCUCAUCUCAUUAGGGUUUGUACGUGGAACGAAGGAGACAAAUAAGAAGUGACGACAGCGUUAAAAUAUGUGUAUUGGUCGGGUGGCUGUGUUUUUUGGGAAUAACAGAUAAAAACUAUUUUUAUUAUUUUUUACUUUGUACAAGAACCACGAUGUAAUUACCUCAAUCAAAACGUAUUUUACUGUCUAAAGCUCUAUUGUUGUAAAAAAUACAAGUAUUUUAUGUAGUGUAAAAUCUUAGUUUUUUAAAAAAGGUAAUGGUGGUCUGGACUUUCUUGGUAUAAAUUGUGUAUUUCUGCUCCAUUGGUUUUAAUUAGAGACUGUUGUACUUUCUUUGGGCAUUUUUUUGGUUUGUGCUCGCUAACACAGGAGGAGAAGACAGAAGCUCCUGGACAUGUUGGCCUGUCUAAAACCAUGACACCUUCCUCUCACUUCUCCAUUGGAUCUCCAGCUUUAGGAUUCCGUCUGGCUCUGCAGCAAGGCUCCCCGAGGAGCACCGUUCAUUUUUAAUGUACUCGUUCAUUAAUGUAGGAAGCUGUAGGUUGAGGGGUUUCAUGUCAUAAUAUAGCUGGCUUUUUUAAAUAAAUACACAUGAAAUGUGUCAC
ensembl:lncRNA